rnacentral:rRNA from 1 species
AUUGAACGCUGGCGGCAUGCUUUACACAUGCAAGUCGAACGGCAGCGCGGGCUUCGGCCUGGCGGCGAGUGGCGAACGGGUGAGUAAUGCAUCGGAACGUGCCCAGUAGUGGGGGAUAGCCCGGCGAAAGCCGGAUUAAUACCGCAUACGACCUGAGGGUGAAAGCGGGGGACCGAAAGGCCUCGCGCUAUUGGAGCGGCCGAUGUCGGAUUAGCUAGUUGGUGGGGUAAAGGCUUACCAAGGCGACGAUCCGUAGCUGGUCUGAGAGGACGACCAGCCACACUGGGACUGAGACACGGCCCAGACUCCUACGGGAGGCAGCAGGGGGGAAUUUUGGACAAUGGGGGCAACCCUGAUCCAGCCAUGCCGCGUGCGGGAAGAAGGCCUUCGGGUUGUAAACCGCUUUUGUUCGGGAAGAAAUCCUCUGGGCUAAUACCCCGGGGGGAUGACGGUACCGGAAGAAUAAGCACCGGCUAACUACGUG